UACGUAGGUGGCAAGCGUUGUCCGGAGUUAUUGGGCGUAAAGCGCGCGCAGGCGGUGCGGUAAGUCUCUGGUGAAAGCGCUCGGCUUAACUGGGCGAGGGCCGGGGGAGACUGCCACGCUGGAGGGGAGCAGAGGCGAGUGGAAUUCCGGGUGUAGUGGUGAAAUGCGUAGAGAUCGGGAAGAACACCCGUGGCGAAGGCGGCUCUCUGGGACGGUACUGACGCGUGAGACGCGAAAGCGUGGGGAGCGAACAGG
rnacentral:rRNA from 1 species